GCGAGUGAAGCGGCAACAGCUCAAAUUUGAAAUCUGGCCCCUAGGGCCCGAGUUGUAAUUUGCAGAGGAUGCUUUUGGCGAGGUGCCUUCCGAGUUCCCUGGAACGGGACGCCAUAGAGGGUGAGAGCCCCGUCUGGUUGGAUGCCGAGCCUUUGUAAAGCUCCUUCGACGAGUCGAGUAGUUUGGGAAUGCUGCUCUAAAUGGGAGGUAUAUGUCUUCUAAAGCUAAAUACCGGCCAGAGACCGAUAGCGCACAAGUAGAGUGAUCGAAAGAUGAAAAGCACUUUGAAAAGAGGGUUAAAUAGUACGUGAAAUUGUUGAAAGGGAAGCGCUUAUGACCAGACUUGGACCCGGUGAAUCAUCCAGCGUUCUCGCUGGUGCACUUUGCCGGGCUCAGGCCAGCAUCAGUUUGCCUUGGGGGAUAAAGGCUUUGGGAACGUGGCUCCCUCGGGAGUGUUAUAGCCCAUUGCACAAUACCCUGGGGCGGACUGAGGUUCGCGCAUCUGCAAGGAUGCUGGCGUAAUGGUCAUCAGCGACCCGUCUUGAAACACGGACCAAGGAGUCGUCUUCGUAUGCGAGUGUUCGGGUGUAAAACCCCUACGCGUAAUGAAAGUGAACGCAGGUGAGAGCUUCGGCGCAUCAUCGACCGAUCCUGAUGUUCUCGGAUGGAUUUGAGUAAGAGCAUACGGGGCCGGACCCGAAAGAAGGUGAACUAUGCCUGUAUAGGGUGAAGCCAGAGGAAACUCUGGUGGAGGCUCGCAGCGGUUCUGACGUGCAAAUCGAUCGUCAAAU
rnacentral:rRNA from 1 species